UACGAAGGGGGGCUAGCGUUGUUCGGAAUCACUGGGCGUAAAGGGCGCGUAGGCGGCCGAUCAAGUCGGGGGUGAAAGCCUGUGGCUCAACCACAGAAUUGCCUUCGAUACUGUUUGGUCUUGAGACCGGAAGAGGUUAGUGGAACUGCGAGUGUAGAGGUGAAAUUCGUAGAUAUUCGCAAGAACACCAGUGGCGAAGGCGGCUGACUGGUCCGGUUCUGACGCUGAGGCGCGAAAGCGUGGGGAGCAAACAGG
rnacentral:rRNA from 1 species